GUUACUUUGGCAGAUUAGUGCAAUUGAUUUAGAAUCUUUAUAAGUAAUUUUUUAUAUUACAUGUAACA
rnacentral:tRNA from 1 species